GAUCGAGUCGUCCUGCGCGGAAGAUGUAACGGGGCUAAGCCAGUUACCGAAGCUGCGGAUUUGCAAUUUAUUGCAAGUGGUAGGAGAGCGUUCUGUAAGCCUGUGAAGGUGCGUUGUAAAGCGUGCUGGAGGUAUCAGAAGUGCGAAUGCUGACAUGAGUAGCGUUAAAGGGGGUGAAAAGCCCCCUCGCCGUAAGCGCAAGGUUUUCUACGCAACGUUCAUCGGCGUAGAGUGAGUCGGCCCCUAAGGCGAGGCAGAGAUGCGUAGUUGAUGGGAAACAGGUCAAUAUUCCUGUACCGAUGUGUAGUGCGAUGUGGGGACGGAGAAGGUUAGCUCAGCAGACUGUUGGAUAUGUCUGUUCAAGCCUGUAGUCGUGCCUGGUAGGUAAAUCCGCCGGGCUUAGAUGAGGGGUGAUAACGAGGAAGCUUGCUUCCGAAGUGAGUGAUACCCUGCUUCCAGGAAAAGCCACUAAGCUUCAGCUGCACACGACCGUACCGCAAACCGACACUGGUGCGCGAGAUGAGUAUUCUAAGGCGCUUGAGAGAACUCAGGAGAAGGAACUCGGCAAAUUGACACCGUAACUUCGGAAGAAGGUGUGCCUUUAGUAUGUGAACCUGUACAGGGGGAGCAAAACGAGGCCUCAGAGAAUCGGUGGCUGCGACUGUUUAAUAAAAACACAGCACUCUGCAAACACGAAAGUGGACGUAUAGGGUGUGACGCCUGCCCGGUGCUGGAAGAUUAAAUGAUGGGGUGCAAGCUCUUGAUUGAAGUCCCAGUAAACGGCGGCCGUAACUAUAACGGUCCUAAGUAGCGAAAUUCCUUGUCGGGUAAGUUCCGACCUGCACGAAUGGCGUAACGAUGGCCACACUGUCUCCUUCUGAGACUCAGCGAAGUUGAAAUGUUUGUGAUGAUGCAAUCUCCCCGCGGAAAGACGGAAAGACCCCAUGAACCUUUACUGUAGCUUUGUAUUGGACUUUGAACAGAUCUGUGUAGGAUAGGUGGGAGGCUUUGAAGCGUGGUCGCUAGACUGCGUGGAGCCAACGUUGAAAUACCACCCUGGUGUGUUUGAGGUUCUAACCUAGGUCCAUUAUCUGGAUCGGGGACAGUGCAUGGUAGGCAGUUUGACUGGGGCGGUCUCCUCCCAAAGCGUAACGGAGGAGUUCGAAGGUACGCUAGUUACGGUCGGACAUCGUGACGAUAGUGCAAUGGCAUAAGCGUGCUUAACUGCGAGACUGACAAGUCGAGCAGAUACGAAAGUAGGACAUAGUGAUCCGGUGGUUCUGUAUGGAAGGGCCAUCGCUCAACGGAUAAAAGGUACUCUGGGGAUAACAGGCUGAUACCGCCCAAGAGUUCAUAUCGACGGCGGUGUUUGGCACCUCGAUGUCGGCUCAUCUCAUCCUGGGGCUGUAGCCGGUCCCAAGGGUAUGGCUGUUCGCCAUUUAAAGAGGUACGUGAGCUGGGUUUAAAACGUCGUGAGACAGUUUGGUCCCUAUCUUCCGUGGGCGCUGCAGAUUUGAGGAAGCCUGCUCCUAGUACGAGAGGACCGGAGUGGACACACCUCUGGUGUAUCGGUUGUCACGCCAGUGGCAUUGCCGAGUAGCUAUGUGUGGAAGAGAUAACCGCUGAAAGCAUCUAAGCGGGAAACUCGUUUCAAGAUGAGAUCUGCCGGGGCCUUGAGCCCCCUAAAGAGUCGUUCAAGACCAGGACGUUGAUAGGCAGGGUGUGGAAGCGCAGUAAUGCGUUAAGCUAACCUGUACUAAUUGCUCGUGCGACUUGA
rnacentral:rRNA from 1 species